GUACGUAGGGAGCAAGCGUUGUCCGGAUUUACUGGGUGUAAAGGGCGCGUAGGCGGGAUAGCAAGUCAGGUGUGAAAUCCGGGGGCUCGACCCUUGAACUGCACUUGAAACUGUUAUCUUGAGUGAUGGAGAGGCAAGUGGAAUUCCUAGUGUAGCGGUGAAAUGCGUAGAUAUCAGGAGGAACACCGGCGGCGAAGGCGGCUUGCUGGACGGCAACUGACGUUGAGGCUCGAAAGCGUGGGGAGCAAACAGGAUUAGAUACCCU
rnacentral:rRNA from 1 species